UAUUUAGAGAUCAUCAUGAGUUCAUUUUUUAUUUUUUUUCAUUUUAUUGUUACUACUUAAUUUGGAUGAUUAUUAAUUGAGUUAACCAUACAUCAAGGAUCUAAAGUUGUAAGUUUAUAUUAUUUUAUUUAUUAAUGAGAUGGAUUUUUUUAGACUAAUUGUCAAGGACUUUAAAUUGGAUGUUUGUUAUAGGGUGUUAAUAAUGGUUAUAUUAGGGCUUUAACGAUAUAAAUAUCAAACUUGAGUUCAUUAUCUAUAAGAAUUUAUUUUUCACGAAAUAAGAUUUGACAAGGACAAUCCAAAAGGAUACUUGUGGCAAAUUUUGGGUGACAAAUAAUGUCCGGGUCAAUAUAAGUAUAUGUAUUCGCCUCCAGAAAAUAUACGUAGAAGUAUAAUAUUAAUAUUUGGGAUUUUUGGUCAACAUGUUAGACCAAUUUUAGUUAUGAUUGAUCCAAGUCAAGUUUCGAAUCGAAUUGGUAUAGUUGAGUUUCUAGAUCCAUUUCAAAUCAAAAUGGGUCUUGAAUCGAGUAACUCAAAUCAGUUAUAUUGCUAGGUUUGACUUAUGUCUUUCUUCUUAUAUUAAUAUUAUUUUUGGGUUCCCUUUCAGGAACUGUAAUAUCCCGGAAAUUUAAACUUUCUUAAAUUAUAUAAUAAUAAUUAGUGGCUAAUUUUUUUUUUUUUUUUCAUUUAAUAAUAAGUUAUAAUCGAAAUUUCGUUAUUUUAUGUCCAAGUAAUGGAUAAUUAAUUUGUUAGAAGUAUAUAUUUAUUAUGUACGGCAAGAGUUGUAAUUAAUAACAAGUUAUGUUAAAUGAUCAAAGUAAGAAAACAAAAUAAUAAACAAAUUAGAUACACUACUAAUCCAAUAAUAUUGGAACAACUUUGUUAGUAUUUGAAAUAAAAAAAGGGAAAAGAAAAAGAGAAAAGAAAAGAAAAAGGAAAAAAAAAAAAAAAAAAAAAAAAAAAAACUCAAGAAAACAGUAGAAACUGUUUUCAUCAACGUUCAACCCAUUUUUCAUUUUUCCUUCACAAACAACCCAACAAUGGCAUUUCAAUUCAACCCAUGAAUAUCUAACUUAAAAUGGAUUAUUAUGCACAAUAAAACUCAACAACAGACUAUCGUUUCAUCAAACAUUCCAAACCAUUUUCAUAGUUUCUUCACAAACCAACCCAAGUACCCAACAAUGGAGUUUUAUUUAAUCCAUGAAUUAUUUUACACAAACAAAAUCAACCUCCAUUAAAAAUUCCAAUUCAAACCAAACCCAUCCAAGAAUACAAUUUUUAUCAAAUCAAACCCACCCAAAAUUUCGGUUUUCUUCAUCAAUUCGACCCAUCCAAAUUCUGAAAAUUUAACCCCCAAUAGUGGCUAUAAAUACCCAUGGCUACUUCACCAUUAUCAUCCAUUCACAAUCCUAAAUAUAUACUCGCCAGAAAACUACUACCCUCGCCGGAAAAGCCACCAAAAACGCCCCCAAAGUUUCUGUUUUUCCGCAACUCUCUCUCCUCUGUUUUCGAAGUCAGCCACCCUCGUACCACCGCGGCAUUCCUGCGCCUCCCAUGCGCCACCAUAGCACCACCUCACCGACGCCUUCUCUCUCCUCUCGCCUACACCCUCACUCGCUCGCCCCUUCUUUCUCCUUCUUCUCUCUCCCUCGCACCUCACCUUCGUCGUCCUCACGCUGCACCACCAGACUUCGUCGCUCGACGGAAGCCGACGAACACCAUCGUUCCACUGCUGUCGGAGCUCUGACCCCACCGCCGGCCAUUCUCCUUCCUCUGCCCUGUUUUCGUGCCUGCUCAAAAUGAGCAGAGAUUAAAAAGGAAGAGAUAUUACAAGCCUCCCCCGGCUUUCAAGGUUAUUAAGCAGGAAUCCAGGUAUGAGCAUAGCCAUUGCAAGUGCGCUGUUAAUAAGGAACAUGUUCAAGGGAAAGUGAGCGGUAUCUGGUGUUGGAGAAAUUAUUAUUAUUAUUUGGGUCGAGUAUUUAUGUAUAGAUAUCAAGGACUAUUUAAGGUUGCAUUGUAUUAGUGGGCCAUAUCCCACAUGCUUAAGUUCCAUUUCCGCUGCAAGUAUGUGCAAUUUGUGUUUGAUUAAGGUUAUGAAUUUUCGGGGCGUUACAGGAACCUUGUGGUAAGAAGAGUUCCUUUUGAUUACUCUCGCAUAGAGUCACUCACCCAGAAGCCCAACAAGUUCCAACCUACUCUCGCAACAUUGAAAUUUGCUUUCACCAAGAUUUGAACAUUGGUCUCCCAUGUGAGUGAUAUAAAGUCAUACUAUUAUUAGACCCCAAGGGUCUAUGUUGUGAGUAAAUUUCUAAUAUGAGGCUAUUUAAGUAAUAUAGAAUUGAUAUAUACAAAUGAUCUAAUUAACUAUUUUCAAAUGUAAAAUUAUAUACUUCAUAUACAAGAUUAUUAUUAUUAU